AAACAGGAUUGUCAUUCAGUUUUUUGUGUUGCAAGCAUGGAUGACAAUAAACUAAUGAAGAGCAUUAGCCCAGUGCUAUCAAUAAGAUAUUGAAUGAGCACUGAAACUUCCUCUUAUUUUCUGAAAAUACCCAUACAAAGCAUCAAGAAAAUUGUUUUUAUCAAAGUGUAUUCUAAGGAACCUAAAAACUAUCCCCUAACCAAUAACCAUGAAGUCUCUGGAGGACAGUUGCAUUCAUUGUAUCAUGAACCAUGUCCAGGACAUACCCAAUAUCAGGGGGAAACUUCCUCGCAUCUACAAGGAACUGCUGCUCACUCGCCUCAGUGAACAUAACCUUUUGACCCCUAAUAUACUGGGAUGUGUGAACCGUGAACUGUGUGUGAACUCGCUGCAGCAUCUUCAGUUGAGCCACUGUUCUCAAGUGAAUGACCAAUUCCUGAAAUCCUUUGCCAACACUCAGAGACAACUGAAGACAAUUCUCAUUGAGAAAUGUGAUGUAUCAGAUGCCGGAGUUUUGGCAGUGACCUUUAAACAGAAGUCUUUGGAGAGCCUUGUGUUAAAGAAUCUGGUCCAGUUGACACCUAAAGGACUCUGCAAUGUGAAAUCUUCAUCGCUUCACACGCUGAACUUGAAGGGAUGUACCUUAAUGACCUCUAGGGGAAUUCUCAGCGUGCUACAAAACAACCCUGAUGUACAAGUUCUCCAUGUUGCUGGCCAGGGCAACCAUAAGUAUGAUGACCAACUGUUCUCUAUCAUCGCUCAAACCCUCGGACCCAAGCUGAAGGAGCUUCACUUUGCCCCCCACACCAUGGAUGAUGCUGGUCUGUCUGUUAUAGCCACUUCCUGUCCCAAUCUAGAAGUACUAGACCUGUACGGUUGUCCUAGAAUCAGUGGGGAUUCAAUGCUGAAGCUGACACAGAACUGUACUUCCAUGAGGAAGCUGGACCUGUCGUACUGUGUCCGUCUGAGUCAGAGUCCAGACAACCAGUCGCUCUGGACACUCCCCGUUACCCUGACAAACCUGUCUCUGUGUGGGAUCAUGCUGGAUGACAAGGAGAUCCUUGUGGAAGCCCUGGAGCGACUGAGGAACCUCCAGACCAUCCGGCUGUGUGGAAUCUCCUGCCUGGAUGAUGAAACCUUUACAAAGAUCAUGGAGAAGAGAGGUGCAAGUCUGAGCGAGAUUGAUCUGAGUGGGAUGAGGAAGUCGGACUUUACAGACGAGGGUCUGAGGGCGAUCAGCCAGUACUGUACAUCCCUGGAGAUCCUCAACAUCAGCAUGUGUCACAUGUUCACCGGGGACACCCUGCUUCCACUGCUGGAGGACCCGGCCAGGGCCCCUCACCUCUACAAACUCUUCCUGUCCUCAAAGAAGAUAAAUUAUGACGUUCUGUGUGCGGCCGCCACCCACUGUCAUGGUCUGGUCUUCCUUGACCUGGGAGGAGUCAGCUGUGUAGAUGACCAUUUCAUGGAACUGCUGGCCAGAAACACCCCCAAACUACAGAGGCUUGGCAUCAAAGGAUGCAGCAAGGUAACAGAUACAGGUGUGUGUACCGUCAGCGGGAGUUGUCAGAACCUCGCCUUCAUUGUGUUGUCUGGGGUGAACAACAUCACAGACAAGUCCAUCUUCUGUAUUGCCAACAACUGUCCUUACCUACAGGAAAUUUAUCUCAAUGGCUGCAAACAGAUUUCUUCCACAACUCUGCAGUAUCUCAAGGACUGCUGUGUCUCCAGCGUGUACAUCCAACAUGUGACACCUAACAUUGCCCCUGAACAGCUGAUGGCCAAAAACCUGGACACUGGUGAAUUCUGUAGAGUGGAUACUAUAGGAUACACCACCCCCUACAGCAGGGGGAGGAUCAGCCGGGACGAUCUGAUCGAAGUGUGAGGAGGGGGGGGAUGGAAAAAGUUGGUUAGGGCAGGAGGAAAAAGUUCUCUACAUAAAUUGGUCAGAGUCAUUAACAAUGUCUUGUUUCAUAUCAGGACAUAGCUCGGUGGUACAUAUUCUGAUGUUGGCUCUUGAUGUGUAUUUUAUUGUCUCUGUCCACCCAGCUGACAUUGGUUACCUGCUUAUGCUGGGAGCUAGCAUAAGAUUGAUUGGUGUCCUAUUCAGUGAAAGUCAAUGACUCUCAUAUCCCUACGACUACAAAAACCAGGCAUAAAAAAGAAUAGUCUGUCCCAAGAUAUUUAUGCUGCACGUUUGGACAAUUUUUGAUAAAAAUACACAUACCUGUGAAAGAAGUGCAAUUGAAAUCGAUGUAAGGGAAAUUUUCUAAGAUAAAUUCAUUCACACAUUAUCAUUUUCCCUUCUAAAAAUUCACAAUAAAGAAAAAGGAUUGUCUAUGGAGAUUUAUAAUGGGGAAUAUUAACAUCUUUUUUCCAUUCGGAAGUCACUAGGAAUACCUCGCGCAAUUUUUCAACAUUAUCAUCCAGGCUUACUGCAAUCACAUUUAUUAGCUGUAUAUUGAAACCUGAUAAGCUAAUAGGGGCGUUUCAACUGAAAAAUCUUGAAAAAAUUUCAUACUUUUAAAUGAACAUUGUUUGAACCAUGAGGUAUUUAUAAAUAUCAAUAAUUAAGCAAAAUGUGAAUCGAGGAUAUCUUGGGACAGAAUUUUUUUAUAAAAGUCCAAACCCAAUGAGGCCAAUGGUCUGAAAGGAUGAUCUAGAAUAACUUGUAGUUUAACUGAGGUUAAGAGGAAAAUAGUUAAUCAAAUAAUGUCAUAAUGGAAACGUGUUUGUUUCAGAAAGAGAAAUCUGUCCAAUUCUUAUCUGUAUGUACAUGCAUAAUGAUGAGGAAUUUCAUCAAGUGAUGAGAACACAUAUUUCUGUAUGUAAUGUUAAGGGUGCCCCAAAAAGGUAUCUGAUUUAGCAGUUUAAAAUAAAAAUAUUUUCAUC
rnacentral:misc_RNA from 1 species